UAAAUUAGGUAAAGGUGUUAGCCUAGUGCCUGGCACAAACACUCAGGACAACUUAGCUCUAGCUAUUGCCCCCUUAGAUUCCAGUAUCCGUUUUGCAAAAUUGCUUUCAGAGAUUUUUUAAAAUUAUAGAUACCCAGGGCCUACCACUAGAGAUGACAACUUCAAAGGGCCAGGCAGCACAGUUAAAGAGCUACACAGGGCUUCUGCUGAUCAGCCAGGUUGAGCACUACUGCUCUGUUCAAAUUUCUGUGUGGGAGAAAUCACAUAGCAUUCAUUUAACUUCGGAUCCUUUGAAGGUGCUGAAGCCCCCACCGGCUGGAAGAAGUCACCUGGAUGCUGUCCACAGCACGGAGACCCCAGACGGGUUGGAACCAGAAGGUUGAUGACGCUGACUCCCAGUGACCUCACCACAAACCAACCAAUCAGGAAAAUGCCCAUGAGCUGAUCACGCCCUGCUCCUCAAACACUCUAAGACUCCUCACUACCUGUACCUCAGAGGGGAGGCCCAGUCCUGGAGGCUCUAGCCUGCUGGGUUCCCCUCUUUGUCUGGCAAUUAAAGCUACUUUUUCCCUUUC